UACGGGGGGGCGGAGCGUUGUUCGGAAUUACGUGGGCGUAAGGGCGCAGGUAGGCGGUCUGCUAAGUUGGAUGUGAAAACUCUGGGCUUAACCCAGAGCCUGCAUUCAAUACUGACAGGCUAGAGUUCUGGAGGGGAUAGCGGAAUUCCUGGUGUAGCGGUGAAAUGCGUAGAUAUCAGGAGGAACACCGGUGGCGAAGGCGGCUAUCUGGACAGAAACUGACGCUGAGGCGCGAAAGCAUGGGGAGCGAACGGG
rnacentral:rRNA from 1 species